rnacentral:rRNA from 1 species
UACGGAGGAUGCAAGCGUUAUCCGGAAUGAUUGGGCGUAGAGCGUCUGUAGGUGGUUUUUAAAGUCUUCUGUCAAAGAUCAGGGCUUAACCCUGGGUCGGCAGAAGAAACUUAAAAGCUGGAGUCUGGUAGGGGCAGAGGGAAUUCCCGGUGUAGCGGUGAAAUGCGUAGAGAUCGGGAAGAACACCAAUGGCGAAGGCACUCUGCUGGGCCACGACUGACACUGAGAGACGAAAGCUAGGGGAGCAAACGGG